UACACAUGCAAGUCGAACGAUGAUGCNCANGCUUGCUGGGCGGAUUAGUGGCGAACGGGUGAGUAACACGUGGGUGAUCUGCCCUGCACUUCGGGAUAAGCCUGGGAAACUGGGUCUAAUACCGGAUAUGACCAUGGGAUGCAUGUCCUGUGGUGGAAAGGUUUACUGGUGCAGGAUGAGCCCGCGGCCUAUCAGCUUGUUGGUGGGGUAAUGGCCUACCAAGGCGACGACGGGUAGCCGGCCUGAGAGGGCGACCGGCCACACUGGGACUGAGACACGGCCCAGACUCCUACGGGAGGCAGCAGUGGGGAAUAUUGCACAAUGGGCGAAAGCCUGAUGCAGCGACGCCGCGUGAGGGAUGACGGCCUUCGGGUUGUAAACCUCUUUCAGCAGGGACGAAGCGCAAGUGACUGUACCUGCAGAAGAAGCACCGGCUAACUACGUGCCAGCAGCCGCGGUAAUACGUAGGGUGCGAGCGUUGUCCGGAAUUACUGGGCGUAAAGAGUUCGUAGGCGGUUUGUCGCGUCGUGUGUGAAAUCCCGCAGCUCAACUGCGGGCUUGCAGGCGAUACGGGCAGACUUGAGUACUGCAGGGGAGACUGGAAUUCCUGGUGUAGCGGUGAAAUGCGCAGAUAUCAGGAGGAACACCGGUGGCGAAGGCGGGUCUCUGGGCAGUAACUGACGCUGAGGAACGAAAGCGUGGGUAGCGAACAGGAUUAGAUACCCUGGUAGUCCACGCCGU
rnacentral:rRNA from 2 species